AUACUUACCUGGAUGGGGUCUAUGGCUGAUCAAUAAGAGUCAUGACCUAGGCUAGUGGCCUGAAGGGAAAAUGAGCUUUAAGCUACUUCUAUAUUGUUUUUGGUGUUUGAUGACCAUUAC
rnacentral:snRNA from 7 species